GUCAAAAAGUCCUGCUGGUGCUAGUCAGAGGAGAAAGAACAGAGGUUUUAACAGGGAACCAGCAUCUACAGCUCAGUGCUGCAUUGUAGGACACCUCUGACAAGGUGGAAGGGAAAAAAGACCUGGUGUGAGUCACCAAACUUGCCUGGUUCUGAACUGACAACUACGGAAGAAGGAAUGGAAGGAAAUUAACCAUCAGUAAAGGCCUCUUGUGUGCCAGGGAGUUUAGACAUUAUUUCACUAUAAGACUGUGCUGGAGCUCCAUGAUGCAACUGGACUUCUUUACAUGAAAACAGCCCCCAUGGUGGGGUUUUCCUGACCCCACACUCUGCCUAGUAUCUUUGUAUGGUGAUUCACAGAUCAUGAGUGCACUCCUAAGGAAGUGGAAGAAGGUAAGGAGAAGAAGAGCUAAUUAUCUGAGCUGCUUUUGAAAUAAAGUGAUAUCAGAGAAGAAAGUUUAUUUGGCACUAAUCAGACAGAGAGAAGGAGGAAAAAUCCCAGCCACCCAAGAAGUAAAACUUUUAUAUCAUUAUAUUCUCACACAGAAACAGGGUUGGUCCUGACUCAGUCAGAAUGACCUCUAGCUACAAAGGUACUAGGAAGCUACUCAUGAAGUUAGAAGCAAAGAAGAGGGAGCCCAUCAAAUAUCAUUUUAGUUAUAUCAGGGAUCUUUAGAAGCAAGGCCAUGAAAUAGAAUACCAAGUUCUGAAGCCUAUGAAGAUCAAGACCUUAAAAGAUAACCCAUUCAUGUGUUCUGGACUCCUUUUCUCCACCAGGUGAGGAACUCAGGGCUCAACCAUCCAAAAAUCAUACUAAUUGGUCCUGGGAAGUCAGCUGACUUCUGAUCACUGUCCCAGGAAAGAUCUUGUGACCCUCACUGACCUCCAUCUUAUAGGGAGUACCACUGAGGCCCCUUGUUUA